UACGUAGGGUGCGAGCGUUGUCCGGAAUUAUUGGGCGUAAAGGGCUCGUAGGCGGUCUGUUGCGUCGGGAGUGAAAACUCAGGGCUUAACCCUGAGCCUGCUUCCGAUACGGGCAGACUAGAGGUAUGCAGGGGAGAACGGAAUUCCUGGUGUAGCGGUGGAAUGCGCAGAUAUCAGGAGGAACACCGGUGGCGAAGGCGGGUCUCUGGGCCGUAACUGACGCUGAGGAGCGAAAGCAUGGGGAGCGAACAGG
rnacentral:rRNA from 1 species